rnacentral:rRNA from 1 species
GUCUACGGCCAUACCACCCUGAACGCACCCAGUCUCAUCUGAUCUCAGAAGCUAAGCAAGAUCAAACCUGGUUAAUACUUGGAUGGGAGAAAAAGUGGGAAAAUGAUAAAUUUGUCAUCC